AGUGAACGCUGGCGGUAGGCCCAACACAUGCAAGUCGAACGGCAGCACAGUAAGAGCUUGCUCUUACGGGUGGCGAGUGGCGGACGGGUGAGGAAUACAUCGGAAUCUACUUUUUCGUGGGGGAUAACGUAGGGAAACUUACGCUAAUACCGCAUACGACCUACGGGUGAAAGCAGGGGAUCUUCGGACCUUGCGCGAUUGAAUGAGCCGAUGUCGGAUUAGCUAGUUGGCGGGGUAAAGGCCCACCAAGGCGACGAUCCGUAGCUGGUCUGAGAGGAUGAUCAGCCACACUGGAACUGAGACACGGUCCAGACUCCUACGGGAGGCAGCAGUGGGGAAUAUUGGACAAUGGGCGCAAGCCUGAUCCAGCCAUACCGCGUGGGUGAAGAAGGCCUUCGGGUUGUAAAGCCCUUUUGUUGGGAAAGAAAAGCAGCAGGUUAAUACCCCGCUGUCCUGACGGUACCCAAAGAAUAAGCACCGGCUAACUUCGUG
rnacentral:rRNA from 1 species